CCCAGGGAGUCUUGGCUUCCCCAGCGGUCUCCCGGUCCCGCUCCCGGUCACCUUAGCGUGCCAGUUCUCCCCUCGAGCCGGAGAACGGGAAUGCCUGAGGGGCGUGCAGCAAGGGCGCCGGAGGGCGCAGGGGCUCCGAGCUCCCCGGCCCCCACCUCCCUGGACUACAGCGAGCCGUGGGGGAGGAGAGAUGGGGAAAGCCUGAACUGCCGAGAGGGAAAGGGUCAGAUGAGAAGCGGAGAGGCCGGGCGGAAGGCGGCCGAGGCAGAAUUGGGAAGGGGUGUUCGAGGUCCUACCUGCUCAGGAUGGAGCGCCCCCUCUCCCUGCUCCACCUCCGCGCAAAAGCACCAGCCUGGCUGCCUCCAGAUCAGAACUGUCCUCAAGAUGGAGGGGAAGGCGGCGUCUUACUCCAUCAUGGAUCUGUUCACUCAACAACUGUUAAUGGAAUACGCCCCCGCCAGGUCUCAGGCACUGAACUAAGUGCCGGGGACAGAUACAAAUAUUAAAAAAGCUCUCCACCUCGGUUCUCUGUUUUGGUCUCUCUCAGUAGUCAAGGUAACCUCUCCACAGAUAUUUUUAAAAAGCCCCAAGUUGUAUCUCCUUCCUACUUCUCAGUUUUUAUUGGUGUAUCUUAAAAGGGCGCAAUGAGGGGGAAGAAGGAAAGAGCUCUGCCAACUUUGGAUCUCUGGGCAGCUUGGACCUCACACCCUCUUGCCAGUCAUCCAGCCACAGGCAGGUCUCCCCUGAGCCAGAAUUGUCAGUUGCAGCUCCGGGGUUGAAACUCAAACCAGUUUUAUUGUGUCUCUGUGCGUUCCAUGGCAAUACCCACUGACACUCUAUGGAAGCUUCCUCUGCCUCUGUGAAGAAAUAAACAAACCAGGAGACAGACACACACACCCCACCACCUUUGAGAAGAAGAAUGUAGGUCAGCAUCUCUGCCACUACUCCAUGUGAAACGGCCUAUGCUCCUGGCAGAAACCAGUAACCACAAGCCCAGCCCAGCCCCCUAAAAAUCCCACCGCCUUCCCAGAGCUCUCAGCUUCAGCGAGAAAAGGACUUUCUUCCUGCUGUCUGCUCCCAGGCUGUCUGCAUUACAUUUAAGACUCCACUGACAAACGUACAUCAGCCUGUGCUCCCACAAGGGCAGCGGAAGCCAAGCAGGGACUCGAAGUCAGCUUCACGCAUCGUUGACGGAACCAACCCUGUUCCAAUUGCUGAAGUCUUAAGAGCAGCAAUGACCUAGAAAUUGACAGUGGGGGGAGAACCAAAGGGAAGUAAAACGAACUAACCAGUACACAGAAAACCCGAUUUCCUAAUACCAGGGGAAAGGGAGAGGAGGCAGAGGGGGGAAGAAAUUUGGCCUCUUUGAAUCUGCAAACGCAAUCUUGGCUCAGUGCCAUAGAGGAUACACAGCAGCCCCAAUGCGAGUCAAGCCAUGUUCCCGACUCCAGCCCUACAGUUAAGAGGAAGGCGCCAAGCCUCAAACAGAACAAGGUCGCUCCUCUUUGGGCAGGAUCCUACUGUGGACACAGAACAGACAGCAGCUGCCCACAGUGUGGAAACAACCUGUAAAGCGGUCACGUCUCUUAAGGCUGCAGCAUCCAAUAAAACGUAAUUUAAAUCAAGCCUCGCAUCUGUUCUCAAUCCCAUUCAGCCUCUGCUUUCCAUCAGCCUUCGGACAAUCUCUGCAAUUACG